rnacentral:tRNA from 2 species
GGACGCAUGAAUUGUGGUGUUAUCACACGGUCUUGAAAACCGUCGAUGGGCAACUAUCCUAGAGUUCGAAUCUCUACGCUUCCGCCA